rnacentral:rRNA from 1 species
UCUGAAUCUGCGAACGGCUCCGCAAACCAGUUGUAAACCAUAGCAAGCAUGCCUUGGGUCCGUCGCAAGGCGGGUCCUUGGCUAUAAGGAUAACCCUGGUAAUUCUGAGGCUAAUACAUGAACGUAACCCCUGGCUGACGGGCAACUGGAGGCUGGGGACCGUGCGAGUAGGCGCAAAGGUUAUUGGGAAUAGUCGCACAGUAGGACCAUCAUACAAACGGUAUCUGCUUCGCUGCCUCACGGUGGCUGGUGGUGUCCGGGUGGCUCUUGCACGGUGCUUCUGACCUAUCAACUAGAUGGCAGCGUAACGGACAUGCUAUGGU